rnacentral:rRNA from 1 species
AGCGAACGCUGGCGGCAGGCCUAACACAUGCAAGUCGAACGAACUCUUCGGAGUUAGUGGCGGACGGGUGUGUAACACGUGGGAACGUGCCUUUUGGUUCGGAAUUACUCAGGGAAACUUGUGCUAAUACCGAAUGUGCCCUUCGGGGGAAAGAUUUAUCGCCAUUGGAGCGGCCCGCGUCUGAUUAGCUAGUUGGUGAGGUAACGGCUCACCAAGGCGACGAUCAGUAGCUGGUCUGAGAGGAUGACCAGCCACACUGGGACUGAGACACGGCCCAGGCUCCUACGGGAGGCAGCAGUGGGGAAUCUUGCGCAAUGGGCGAAAUCCUGACGCAGCCAUGCCGCGUGAAUGAUGAAGGUCUUAGGAUUGUAAAAUUCUUUCACCGGGGACGAUAAUGACGGUACCCGGAGAAGAAGCCCCGGCUAACUUCGUG